UUUUGUUUGCUCUUUUAAGCAAACAUUACAUUAAUUUAAAAUUCUAUAAGCAAUAAAACAAAACUUACUGCACAUUUGAUGCAGAAUGAUGUUUUAUUUAGUGUGCAUAUGAUUUUCAGCUUAUGGACAAGAAAACAUUACUUCAACAAUCACAGCAACUCAAUGAGAUCCCUAUUUUAAAGAAAUAAUGCCACCUUUCAUUAAUUAAUUCAUUCAUUCUAUCAAUCAUUCAUAUAUAUUCAUUUAUUUAUUCAGUUUAUACAUUGAAAAACUUGACAUUUCUCAAGGCAAAAGAAAUAAAAAGUGAGCCGCUUUCAUAAAGAUUAGAGCCUUUUCCCUUCAUGCAUUAAAAAACAACCUUAAUACAUUAUAAAUGUCUUUAAACCCUAAUGUAUUGUUUAUUUCAAUAGCCAGCCUGGUUGCUGUAGCCACAGGGGAAUCUUCAAGGACAAGAACCAGUGCUGGUAAAAAUGUGGUCUUGUGUGGUUUUCCAUACCGGCUCUCAGCAAGGAUUUCAGAGAAAGGAAUACCGUCUCCAAAUCAUGAUGUGCUUAUAAGCUCCAGUUAGCUGCGCCUUUUUCCUCCCGGCAGUAGUCCUGCAAUCUGAAUCCAGGAGAUGCAGCUCUGAAUCCAAUAUUUCAGAAGAAUGAAGAUAAAACUGAAGCCUUCAGGAAGUCAAUGCCACCAUGAUAUUGAUUUACUCAGCUCUGAUGUACUCAGCUGUGAUGUAACAUGCCUUCAAGCCACUAUUCGAAGAACAUUCAGACAUUCUAAAUGGACCAUUGCCCUGUUGCCAUGAAAAUCAUUAUGAGGAGGAGCACACACAAACUGUCACUUGUUUUGAAUACGAGAUGUACCACAAACUUACCAUAAACUAUUCGGAUGCUCUGUUUAUUUCAUCAGCCAAUUUCGAUGUAUAUUUUACUGAAUAACGACAAACAAUCUUUAUUAACGAUGCUCAGCUCUUACUCAUAAGCAUCUCUUACUCAUCCGUACCGUAUUAUAUCAUGCAUAGGACACACUUUUUUACCCCCAAUUCUUGUCUUAAAAAUUGUCUGCGUCCUUUCUAUGCUAUUAGAAUUUCAUCUGUUUUUUUCUAAGUCCAUUUCAGGUCAAAAAUAUCGGACCGGGGCAGAACGCUGUAAUAGUAAGUAUCUGUACUGCGUCACCGAAGAGAACAACUGACAUAGGUAAAAUCACGCAAGUUAACACACGCAGAAAUAUAUUGAAUGUUUACUUUAAAAUGAAUUACUGAGAAAUAAAUUGAAAACAAACAUGAGUGUUUACUUUUUUACAAAAGGGACGCUACUCACAAAAACUCGAUGUGAGUCAGCACUAUAACUGGAUUGAGUUAUAACGGCAACGGAAAAUCGGGAAAGGAGGUAAAUAUCAAUUAAUCGUUGUUCAUGAUUUUAAUGUUUCGAUUAUUUACAAAACAUUUUGUUGUAUCUUACUGUUUUAAAAAAAAUAAUAAAGGAAUGUGCAUAACACAAAGUAGCAUUAUUGUCACUAUUAAAUUUUUUCAAAUGUGCGAAGGUGUGAAAAACACCCGCUGUCUGGCAUUAGAAAAACAUCAAUAGAACGAACUAUUGAGAUGGUAAUACGGUAUAGUUGAUUGUUCGCACUUUACCCGUAGUGCCUUCCGCUGGCAAGGAUAAUUACCGACACGCAUUAAUUAUGCCUGACAUGCUUUAAUCCGCGCAGCGACAAGCCUUAUCAAAACAAUCAUCAGUUUUGACAAUACACAGUUUUGCAACGGUUGCAACGGUUGACUGUCAUUCAGAAGGCAUGUCGGGACUAUUGCAACGGUUGCAACGGUUGACUGUCAGUCAGAAGGUGUGUCGGGACUAUUACGGCAUUUGUAUAAGUCUUAUAAUAUACGUAAAUGUUCUGAAAAUGUCAAGACUUAUAUCAUUGUUGUGUACACUAAAUUACCGAAAUAUGACGGUAAUUAUCGAAAUACACAAGCCAGUUAUCGAAAUAUGCCUGAGAUACAUUUUUUUUUUACUUCAAUAUAUGUUAUAAAUACUUGACCAACCUGAAUUUUUCGGCUCCGAUUUUGACAUUUUUCCGCUGCGUCUUAUACCAUUUUUUCAACUAUUUUUUUGCCUGCGUCCUAUCUAUGCUAGCGUCCUAUACAUGAUAUAAUACGGUAUUCCACAACUAAACAUGCUUGCAAUUACACUGUACCAUCUAUCAUAAUAUAGCAAUGCUGCAAUUACCACAUUUUUUGUACCAGUUGUUGCUUUAUACUGAAACUUUCAUUGAAAAUGGUGCAUAAACACUGAUAACACAUAAAUGUUUCAUUCAGACAUUUGUACAUGUUCUUUCAGUGUAUAUGUUGAUAAUGCUGAUACAUUUUUCAUGUGCAUUUACACAUGUGUUUAUUGCCAACCUCAUCAAAACAUGCAUAGUUUGCUCACAUACAUAUUUCCAACACAGACAUUUACUGAAUGUAUUACUACUUGACAUUGAUUUUGAUAUGUAAAUAAAACAUUGUACUACUCGUUUGUACAAAACACUUUUCAUUUGCUAUGUUGUUUGUUUCCAUGUUCUGUCUGCAUGCAGAUGGUAUUUUCAUAUCAAUUUUUAGCUAAACUAUUCGUAGAAUAUGGAGAGCUAUACUACUCACCCAAGCGUCGGCGUCAGCGUCACACCUUGGUUAAGGUUUUGCUUGCAAGCACACAUAGGUAAAUCUCUCAUUAAGAACUUGAGGUAUUGCAUUGAGACUUGAUACAAUGGUACUCAACAAUCCAACCUACUGAAUCAACAAAGUUAGAUAACUCUAGUUUGCAUUUAAUCCAAAUAAUAGGACUUUAUUAUUCGUCUUAGAAAUUCUGAUUAAGGUUUUGCGUGCAAGCACACAUAGGUUAAUAUCUCAGCAGCUACUUGAGGUAUUGCAUUGAGACUUGAUACGAUGGUACUCAACCAUCCAACCUAUAAAUUGACCAAAUAAGGUCACUUGACUUUUCAUUUAAUGCAAAUGAUAGGCCUUUAUUAUUCGACUUAGAUAUUCUGAUUAAGGUUUUGUGAGCAAGUACACAUUAUAUAAAUAUCAAAGCAACUACUUCAUGUAUUGCAUUGAGACUCAUACAAUUGUACUCAACCAUCAAACUUCCCCAUGUAAGAUAGCUCUAGUUUCAUUUAAUACAAAUAAUUGCCCUUUAUUAUUUGACAUAGAAAUUUUGGUUAAGGUUUUGCGUGUAAGCACACAUAGGUAAAUUUCCCAGCAACUACUCGAUGUAUUGCAUUGAGACUUUAUAGAAUGGUAUUUAACCACUCAAUGUAAUUGAAUAACCAAGAUAUAUAACUGUAAUUUGCAAAUAAUUGCCCUUUAUUAUUAGACUUAAACAUUCUGGUUGAAAUUUUCCAUGUAAUCACAUUUAUGUUAAUAUCUCACCACAUGAAUUGCAUUGAAAUCUUAUCUAACCGUGAACCAUGCAUGUUUCGCCAAAACUUUUCAAUCCUUGCACUGAAAAGCGGCUGAAUAGUCGAGCCUGCUGUCUCUGUGACAGCUCUUGUUCAACAUUAACGUGAUGUUCAUUUCCAUUGUGAAACUUAUCCCUUGGGAACAAUAUUAACAUCUUUUAGCAUACAUGCCUGGAUGAGUUUUAAAAAAUGACCAUAUUAUGCAUACUUAGUAUUACUUACUGCAUGAAAAUAUACAAUGGCAUACAUUUCAUAUCAACUUGUGUAUCUGUAUUUCCCUUUCAACUACUUCGAAAUAACAAACGUCCCAACCCUAAAAUGUUCAAAAAUAUUCUACAUACAUUAUUUUUAUCUUGCACUGUAUAUAUAUGUUCUAUAUGUAUAUAUCACGCCUAAUAAAAUUGAAGCCUGUCAAC